GAUGAACGCUGGCGGCGUGCUUAACACAUGCAAGUCGAACGUGAGGGGGAGCAAUCUCCUGAAAGUGGCGAACGGGUGAGUAACACGUAGGUGACCUGCCUCGGAGUGGGGGAUAACAGUUGGAAACGGCUGCUAAUACCGCAUAAGGUGAGUAAAGCGGGAGCUUUGCUUGCGAAAACUCUGGUGCUUCGAGAGGGGCCUGCGUCCGAUUAGCUAGUUGGUGGGGUAAAGGCCUACCAAGGCGAUGAUCGGUAGCUGGUCUGAGAGGACGAUCAGCCACACGGGAACUGAGAAACGGUCCCGACUCCUACGGGGGGCAGCAGUGAGGAAUAUUGGGCAAUGGGCGGAAGCCUGACCCAGCAACGCCGCGUGGAGGAUGAAGGCUUUCGGGUCGUAACUCCUUUUAUGGGGGAAGAGCGAGGACGGUACCCCAGAUAGUCACGCUUAACUACGUG
rnacentral:rRNA from 1 species